CUCCAUAGGGGUCUGCCCCAUAGCGGCCCGCCCCAUAGCGGUCUGCCCCAUAGCGGUCUGCCCUAUAGGGGUCUGCCCCAUAGGGGUCUGACCCCAUGGCAAUAAAUGGUCUGGCCUGACCCACGGCGUCCUCGUGUCCUGCCCCAUAGCGUCCUCCUGCCCCAUAGAAUCCUGCCCCAUAGAAUCCUGCCCCAUAGAAUCCUGCCCCAUAGCGGUCUGCCCCAUAGAAUCCUGCCCCAUAGCGUCCUGCCCCAUAGCGUCC
rnacentral:lncRNA from 1 species